UACGGAGGGUGCAAACGUUGCUCGGAAUUAUUGGGCGUAAAGCGCAUGUAGGCGGUUCGUUAUGUCGGAUGUGAAAGCCCUGGGCUUAACCCAGGAAGUGCAUCCGAAACUGGCGAGCUUGAGUACGGAAGAGGGUUUCGGAAUUCCCGGUGUAGAGGUGAAAUUCGUAGAUAUCGGGAGGAACACCAGUGGCGAAGGCGGAGACCUGGGCCGAUACUGACGCUGAGAUGCGAAAGCGUGGGGAGCAAACAGG
rnacentral:rRNA from 1 species